UGUUGUUUGGAUAUUGAGAAAACUUGUCAAUCUUGCUUGACAUUGUGUUGUCUAUCGUUCCACGAUUCCGUAUGAGUUAGCGUGUAUUCCUUAUUGUUUUAUUCCUGUUACUUGUUGUUAUUUGUUAUUGAACUUAGUGUUUUGUGUGAUGCAAGUCGUUUCGUACUAACGUACGUGUGCGUACGUACUUUAUGUUUGAAAAUCCCUUAGAAUGGGGAACAAGAAGGGACGAAAAUCUAGUGCAUCAGUGAGAUUGAAGCGAAAACGAAAGCAAACAUGCUCCGGAAUGUCGUUACAAAGCUGCUGCACAGCCACCUGAUGCACAUGACCAAAUUGACAGUGAAGUGUGUCAAUCUGCUAAAGAAACCACAAAUCAACCUGAACCAUCUUUUUCUGCUUAUGUAGACUAUUUGAGUGAAGACACUGAAGGAAAUGAUUUUAAUAUAACACAUGAAAAUAUACCUACUGGCCCUGAACAUGGCCAUGAAACAAAAUAUGGCAGGAGGAUUGUAAAUGUGGACCAGUUCUUUGACAAGUUGCAAGAAAUAUCAUCUCAUGGCCCUCUCAAUUGCGGAUUAAAAUCAGUUCAGAUCAUAUCAUAUUAGAGACCCAGCCUACAUAAAAGAAGCCAUUCAUGAGAAAGAGAGGAAGAAAACAUCUGCGCCACCAAGAAAAAGAAAACUAGCCGCUGAAAACAGUGAAAACAUACGCCCCCCCCGCCGUCGUCGUAGAAAUAAAUAAACGAUGAAAACUGGUUUAUUUGUAUUAUUCCAAAUAUAACAUAAUAGUGUUCAAAAUUACACAAAGAAAACCGA